rnacentral:rRNA from 1 species
GACGUACUGCGCGAACGUUAUUCGGAAUCACUGGGCUUAAAGGGUGCGCAGGCGGCUGCCCAAGCCCGAAGUGAAAUGCCCCGGCCCAACCGGGGACGUGCUUCGGGGACUGGGCGGCUCGGGCGAGCUAGGGGUCCGUGGAACUCCCGGUGGAGCGGUGAAAUGUGUUGAGAUCGGGAGGAACGCCGGUGGCGAAAGCGACGGACUGGGGCUUUGCCGACGCUCAGGCACGAAAGCCAGGGGAGCGAAC